AAGGACAACCAUAAAAAAAGUCAAAGCAAUUCUCCAAACAAAGCCAUUUCUGAUUCACUUGCAUGCCCAGUGAGGAAGUUCAGGGAAGGUUUUGGCCUAGCUGCCAUCUUUUUGAGGAAGUGGCACGCUGCAAGUUCUGAGUCUAUUAUGUUAUGUCCUGGGCAGGAGGCUGCAGAAGGCCCGGGCAGACCAUGUGAUUGCCUGGGUCUAGACAGGCUGUCUCCAGCCUUGUGAGCAUGUGCAAGGUGGGAGACUAGCCCUGCAUUGAUUGGCUGAUGCUGUCCCUGCAAGGGAAGUAUAAAAGAGCCAGCGCCAUUUUGUUUGCUGUUCUGCUCUGUUAGUGAGCUCAACAAAGAAGUUGUGUUUUGUUACUCCUGCCUCGCUUCGAUGUCUCUGAUUCUAAACCAGAACAUAUUAACUGUUGGAAAUUCCUUAAAAUAUGGAUUUGGCAACAGACAUGGUGAUCCUACAGAAAUAGGAACUGGAAAUGACUAUAUUAUAGGAAUUGAAAGCCAACGCAGGUGUGGAAGCAUUAUACAUCAUUGGUAAAAAAACUGAGCUUCAAACAGGAGUUCAUCUCCCUGAAAUAUCACCAGCGGACAUUUCAAACAGGACAUUCAUGGGAUUACAAAGUGAAGAGAAUGGCUCAAGGGUAGAAAAAAACAUCCAGGAUGAAAACAGAGAAAGGCAGAAGAGC